CCAUGAGUGGUUAGGAAUUCGACGUCCGCGUGGAUUCCGCUGCGGAAUGUUGGAUGAACUGGAAUGCAGUAACGAGGAACGAUGAGAAAUUAUUGAAGAGAAUAAAUAAGGAGUAUUAUUUGCAGUGACGAAUUUCAAACGAAUAAGAACAAACUGCCGCGAGUACAUAAAGAAGAGAGAGAAGGAGAAGUAAUGGCGUACGAUAAAGUAGGGCUGAAAGAUUUUUGAUGGCCGACAGAAAAUUGAAAGUGAAAUCUAUAAUAAAUGUUUACCUUCCAUUAUUCUAGGGAAAUUACAUUGAGCGUACUAUCAACAUUGAUAAUCUAACGUCUAAAGUUUAUUGUAACAAUACUGUUUGCUCAACCGAUACCAAACAUGAGAAUUAUGUUAAGCGAUUAUGGCAGCACCCCUUUCAUAUCUAUCAAUAAUACAUAAGCAUACGAUAAAUGCAGAAAAGUUAAUUAAUAAACUGAUAAGACUGUCAUCAAUCGAACAGUCUAAUACAAAUCGA